rnacentral:rRNA from 1 species
UAAGGAAUAUUGGUCAAUGGACGCAAGUCUGAACCAGCCAUGCCGCGUGGGGGAUUAAGGCCCUCUGGGUUGUAAACUCCUUUUAUCUGGGAAGAAAUGUACUUUUUCUUGAGUACUUGACGGUACCAGAGGAAUAAGCACCGGCUAACUCCGUGCCAGCAGCCGCGGUACUAAGGAGGGUGCAAGCGUUAUCCGGAUUCACUGGGUUUAAAGGGUGCGUAGGUGGGCAGGUAAGUCAGUGGUGAAAUCUCCGGGCUUAACCCGGAAACUGCCGUUGAUACUAUUUGUCGUGAAUAUUGCGGAGGUAAGCGGAAUAUGUCAUGAAGCGGUGAAAUGCAUAGAUAUGACAUGGAACACCAAUUGCGAAGGCAGCUUACUACACAAUGAUUGACGCUGAUGCACGAAAGCGUGGGGAGCGAACA